rnacentral:rRNA from 1 species
AGCAGCCGCGGUAAUUCCAGCUCCAAUAGCGUAUAUUAAAGUUGUUGCAGUUAAAAAGCUCGUAGUUGAAUUUCGGGAUCAGAGUGUCGGUCGUGCCUCGGUACGCACUGGUAUUAUUGGUUCCUACCUUCUGAAGAACCGCGAUGUCAUUAAUUUGAUGUCGUGGGGAAUCAGGACUGUUACUUUGAAAAAAUUAGAGUGUUUAAAGCAGGCUUACGCUUGAAUACAUUAGCAUGGAAUAAUGAAAUAGGACGUUUGAUUCUAUUUUGUUGGUUGAUUCUAUUUUGUUGGUUUCUAGGAUUGACGUAAUGAUUAAUAGGGAUAGUUGGGGGCAUUAGUAUUCAAUUGUCAGAGGUGAAAUUCUUGGAUUUAUUGAAGACUAACUACUGCGAAAGCAUUUGCCAAGGAUGUUUUCAUUAAUCAAGAACGAAAGUUAGGGGAUCGAAGACGAUCAGAUACCGUCCUAGUCUCAACCAUAAACGAUGCCGACCAGGGAUCGGCGGAUGUUGCUACAAGGACACCGCCGGCACCUUAU